AUCUUGAUAGACGCUCAAAUGGUCUCUACGAAGAGAAAAAUCGUACGUGGCCAAGGCAGCACCCAAGGCAGCAUCCUUGGGAAAACCCAUACCAUCGACAGCUAUCGACUUUGCACCAUUCGACUUUAAAAUCUUAGCUGCCUCUGCAGCAGCUGAACGAACGGACUUUUCAGAAACGUUUUCUUCAAGCUGGACUAUGGCAAGACGAACAAAACCCUGAGUGUUCCAAAAGAGACGAAUGUCAUUUUUUUUGGGAGAUGUUUCAAAAUACUGGUCAACAACUUGUCGAUAAUCUUCAGAAAAAACUUGUUUAUCGUGACGAACAGCCAAAAUCAAGGAAUCGGCUUUUGUAGUAGCUAAAGGAAUUCUUGGUAAAAGAAUGGAAGAAAGUGAGCUCCAAUUAAAGGUUCUCGUACUUAGAC